GAUGAACGCUGGCGGCGUGCUUAACACAUGCAAGUCGAACGAUGAAGGGAGCUUGCUCCUGGAUUAGUGGCGAACGGGUGAGUAACACGUGAGUAACCUGCCCUUGACUCUGGGAUAAGCCUGGGAAACUGGGUCUAAUACCGGAUAUGACCUUCCAUCGCAUGGUGGUUGGUGGAAAGCUUUUGUGGUUUUGGAUGGACUCGCGGCCUAUCAGCUUGUUGGUGGGGUAAUGGCCUACCAAGGCGACGACGGGUAGCCGGCCUGAGAGGGUGACCGGCCACACUGGGACUGAGACACGGCACAGACCCCUACGGGGGGCAGCAGUGGGGAAUAUUGCACAAUGGGCGCAAGCCUGAUGCAGCGACGCCGCGUGAGGGAUGACGGCCUUCGGGUUGUAAACCUCUUUCAGUAGGGAAGAAGCCGCAAGGUGACGGUACCUGCAGAAGAAGCGCCGGCUAACUACGUGCCAGCAGCCGCAGUAAUAC
rnacentral:rRNA from 1 species